rnacentral:rRNA from 1 species
GACGAACGCUGGCCGCGUGCUUAACACAUGCAAGUCGAACGCUGAAACCCUGGUGCUUGCACCGGGGUGGAUGUGUGGCGAACGGGUGAGUAACACGUGAGUAACCUGCCCCCGACUUCGGGAUAAGCCCGGGAAACUGGGUCUAAUACCGGAUAUGAGCGCCCCUCGCAUGAGGGAUGCUGGCAAGUCUUUUCGGUUGGGGAUGGGCUCGCGGCCUAUCAGUUUGUUGGUGAGGUAAUGGCUCACCAAGACGACGACGGGUAGCCGGCCUGAGAGGGCGACCGGCCACACUGGGACUGAGACACGGCCCAGACUCCUACGGGAGGCAGCAGUGGGGAAUAUUGCACAAUGGGGGAAACCCUGAUGCAGCGACGCAGCGUGCGGGAUGACGGCCUUCGGGUUGUAAACCGCUUUCAGCAGGGAAGAAGCCCCUUGGGGUGACGGUACCUGCAGAAGAAGUACCGGCUAACUACGUGCCAGCAGCCGCAGUAA